UACGAACUGUGCAAACGUUAUUCGGAUUCACUGGGCUUAAAGGGUUCGUAGGCGGCCAUGUAAGUAGGGUGUGAAAUCCCCCGGCUUAACCGGGGAACUGCGCCCUAAACUGUGUGGCUUGAGUGAGAUAGGGGUGUGUGGAACUUCCGGUGGAGCGGUGAAAUGUAUUGAUAUCGGAAGGAACGCCGGUGGCGAAAGCGACACACUGGGUCUCAACUGACGCUGAGGCACGAAAGCCAGGGGAGCGAACGGG
rnacentral:rRNA from 1 species